rnacentral:rRNA from 1 species
CCCCUAGAUGUUCUGGGCCGCACGCGCGCUACACUGAACAGUUCAACAAGUCUUAACCUUGGCCGAUAGGUCUGGGUAAUCUUUGAACGCUGUUCGUGAUUGGGAUAGACCUUUGCAAUUAUGGGUCUUCAACGAGGAAUUCCUAGUAAACGCAAGUCAUCAGCUUGCAUUGAUUACGUCCUGCCCUUUGUACACACCGCCCGUCGCACCUACCGAUUGAAUGGUCCGGUGAAAUCUCGGGACGGCGGCUUGGUCGCUUGCGCCCGACUGCUGAAACUUGAUUAAACCAUAUCAUUUAGAGGAAGGUGAANUCGUANCA